rnacentral:rRNA from 1 species
UACGGAGGGUGCAAGCGUUAAUAGGAAUCACUGGGCGUAAAGGGCACGUAGGCGGCUUGAUAAGUCAGGUGUGAAAUCCCUGGGCUCAACCUGGGAAUGGCAUUUGAUACUGUUGAGCUAGAGUCUGGUAGAGGGAGGUGGAAUUCCAGGUGUAGCGGUGAAAUGCGUAGAGAUCUGGAGGAACACCGGUGGCGAAGGCGGACUCCUGGGCCAAGACUGACGCUGAGGUGCGAAAGCGUGGGGAGCAAACAGG